CUAGACCUAAGACUCUACAUAUACACUAAUCAGAAAAAUGAAGCGCAGCUUUGGGAGGGACAAAAAAAAAUACGCCUGGAAAACAGAAAGCUUGCGCCGCAAUUCAGCAAGAACACGACCCCCCUCCCUUUGAGCCAUCAUCUUCUUCAUUAGAGCCAACACCUAAAAAUGAGAUGAUCUUCUUCAAAAAGACUUUAGACAAAAACCAUAAAUGGGAGACUAGUGAAUCUUCGAAGUUGGAGCUCCAACUCCAUGGAAGCAAGACAAAAACGCUAACUCCUUUUACCACUAAAAAUCUCCGCUGCGUCUCCUUCAACCCAAAAACCCGCCGGAAAACGAGCAACUCUGCCAUUCCUUCACCACCAAAGGCGUCUUUCAAAACCAGAUCAGUACAACCCCAAAUCAGUCCCAAAGAAACUCAAAAUCCAAGCGUAAGUUUAGUUUUUUGUCAUUCUGAUCUAGUUCGAUAAUUCCAGCGAGCUUCAAGGUUGUCUGUGGUCGUUGUUCAUGGGUUCCGUUUCAGCUCCGUCCCUGGUUUGUCGUGUCUGAGUUUAACGUUGCCUCACAACUAAUGUGUUGAUCCAUUUUGAGAUUAUUAAUUGGGUCGCACGCAUUUUUGUUGGAAUCAAGUCGGAUUAAGUUGUUUUCUGCCCGAAUAUAGGUCAACCGCAUUGUUUUGGCACGCCAAUCCAAUAAACGCCAAAUAAGGCCAAGAUUGCCAUGUUUUCCUUCAUAGAUAAUCGAUUUUUAAGGCAAUUGAAAAGGGAUGUCCUACAUUGAGGUUUUAGGUUGAGACAAAAUUUCAAGAUUCGCUGGAUUGCAUUCAUGAACUAAGAGAUGAAAAAGCAUAAAGAUUUAUUUAUUA